GGAUUACAGGUGUGAGCCACCACACCCAGCCGCUGCAUUGCUUUUGAUCUCACUUUUCUCCAGCCCUCCAGCCACAUCCUGUCUGUCAGUCUCUUGCCGGAUUCACGCUACUGUCUGAGGCUUUCUCUGUUCCAUGUUUUGUGUGUGUGUGUGUGUGUGACAGAGUCUUGCUCUGUUACCCAGGCUGCUGGAGUGCAGUGGCACAAUCUUGGCUCACUGCAGCCUCUGCCUCCUGGGUUCAAGUGAUUCUCCCACCUCAGCCUCCUGAGUAGCUGGGACUACAUGUGCAUGCCACCAUUCUCGUCUAAUUAUUGUAUUUUUAGGAGAGAUGGAGGUUUCACUAUUUUGGCCACACUGGUCUCGAACUCCUGACCUCAAGUAAUCCACCCGCCUUGGCCUCCUGAAGUGCUAGGAUUACAGGCAUGAAUCACCACUCCCAGCCUGUCCCAUCUUUUGAGCUAUGCCCACACCUGGCUUCCAGAGAGUUGAGGCUCACAUAUUCGUUAGCAGCAAACAAAACGGACCAACACAGCGUCCCUGCUAAUUUCAUGCAGGAAGCUAACUUCCAGCACAAUCACCUGGGUCCACAAAGGAUGCACUCAGUCCGAUUGGCUUUACAAAUUUAGCCUCAGAUGGGAAUCUGUGUAACUGUGUUUGGCACACGCCAAUAGGUAUUCCAUACAUGUUUGUUGAGUCAUUUGUAUUUUUUUUUUUUUUUUUUUUUUUUUUUUUUUUUUUGAGAUGGAGUUUUGCUCUUGUUGCCCAGGCUGGAGUGCAGUGGCGCCAUCUUGGCUCACCGCAACCUCCACCCCGUGGGUUCAAGCGAUUCUCCUGCCUCAGCCUCCCAGGUAGCUGGGAUUACAGGGAUGUGCCACCAUGACCAGCUAAUUUUGUAUUUUUAUAAUAGAGAUGGGGUUUCACCAUGUUGGUCAGGCUGGCCUUGAACUCCUGAUCUCCAGUGAUCUACCCGCCUCGGCCUCCCAAAGUGCUGGGAUUACAGGCGUGAGUCACCAUGCCUGGCCAUGCUGUUUUCUUAAAUGAGUCAAAAAUAGUCUAAAUACUGUACUUCACAAAAUUUGUAAAGUGGGAAGAAUGGGGCUGUGGCUGCUUCCAGCCUGGGAAUGGGAUGCGCCACAAGAUGGCGCCACCCUUGCGUCAGUGAAGGCCGAGGCCCCUGGUGCGGGGAAGGCCCGCCUUCCCCCCAGACCCUGGGCCACCAGCAGGGGCCAGAGCACGGCUCACCAAACCAUUGACACGGAGACAAAAGCCUGAAUCCCCUGUGCUGUCAGUGACCUGGGCCUUCCUCUCUAUUCUCUGUAAUCAAGUCUUUCUGGAGAUGUGCGGUGGAGACAUCCCCAGCCAGGAGCUCCUUCCUCAUUCAGAGAAGGCGGCUCAGGGCAGCUGGUGGCUUCCCCUCCGCUCCUGAGGGACGGCGUGGGACGCCGCUGCUCUGGACCUUCUCUCCACUGUGCUUUGUUGCUGACUUGUUUAAGCGCCAACUGGGUCUCCUUAAGGCACCCGUGGGAAGAUCAGCGGCAGAACUCGCAAAGGCUGCGGUGCUUGUGAUACUCCUGACAAGGGACGGAUGGACCUGACCUCCGACCUCCAGGUGUAAGUGGAUAGGGGUCAGAAUCCAGACCCCAAGAGAGGGUUCUUGGAUCUCGCACAAGAGGGAAUUCAGGGCGAGUCCACAGAGAAAAGUGAAAGCAAGUUUAUUAGGCAAGUAAAAGAAUGAAGAAUGGCUACUGGUAGCCAGAGCAGCCCCGUGGCUGCUGGUUGCCCAUUUUUGUGGUGCUUUCUGGAUUAUGAGCUAAACAAUGGGUGGAUUAUUCAUGCCUCCCCUUUUAAGAUCAUAUAGGGUAAUUCCUGACGCUGCCAUGGCAUCUAUAAACUGUCAUGGCACUGGUGGGAGUGCCAC
rnacentral:lncRNA from 1 species